AUAAACAAAUAUCAGGUCCAUGGAAGUUCAUGCAGAUCCAGGUUCGGGGACUUAAAAUCCGCACAGUGUCGGUUCGAGUCCGACUGGGGGCACCA
rnacentral:tRNA from 1 species